rnacentral:rRNA from 1 species
CCUACGGGUGGCAGCAGUCGAGAAUCAUUCACAAUGGGGGAAACCCUGAUGGUGCGACGCCGCGUGGGGGAAUGAAGGUCUUCGGAUUGUAAACCCCUGUCAUGUGGGAGCAAAUUAAAGAGAUAGUACCACAAGAGGAAGAGACGGCUAACUCUGUGCCAGCAGCCGCGGUAAUACAGAGGUCUCAAGCGUUGUUCGGAAUCACUGGGCGUAAAGCGUGCGUAGGCUGUUUCGUAAGUCGUGUGUGAAAGGUGCGGGCUCAACCGGCGGACGGCACAUGAUACUGGGAGACUAGAGUAAUGGAGGGGGAAGCGGAAUUCUCGGUGUAGCAGUGAAAUGCGUAGAUAUCGAGAGGAACACUGGUGGCGAAGGCGGGUUCCUGGACAGUAACUGACGCUGAGGCACGAAGGCCAGGGGAGCGAAAGGGAUUAGAUACCCCUGUAGUC